CGCGUAGGCGGUUUUUUAAGUCAGAUGUGUAAUCCCCGACGCUUAACUUAGGGAACUGCAUCUGAGACUGGAAGGCUAGAGUACUGGAGAGGGUGGUGGAAUUCCUCGUGUAGCGGUGAAAUGCGUAGAGAUGAGGAGGAACACCAGUGGCGAAGGCGGCCACCUGGACAGUAACUGACGCUGAGGCGCGAAAGUGUGGGUAGCAAACAGGAUUAGAUACCCUGGUAGUCCACGCUGUAAACGAUGAACACUUGGUGUGGAGGGAGUUGACCCCUUCCGUGCCGGAGCUAACGCGUUAAGUGUUCCGCCUGGGGAGUACGGUCGCAAGGCUGAA
rnacentral:rRNA from 1 species